rnacentral:rRNA from 1 species
UACAGAGGGGGCGAGCGUUGUUCGGAAUCACUGGGCGUAAAGGGCGCGUAGGCGGCUUUAUAAGUCGGGGGUGAAAGCCUGUGGCUCAACCACAGAAUUGCCUUCGAUACUGUAGAGCUUGAGACCGGAAGAGGUAAGUGGAACUGCGAGUGUAGAGGUGAAAUUCGUAGAUAUUCGCAAGAACACCAGUGGCGAAGGCGGCUCACUGGCCCGGUACUGACGCUGAGGUGCGAAAGCGUGGGGAGCAAACAGG